ACGCGUCAUGAGCGGGGACAAAAGAGAGGGACAGAGUGCUCUCUUUUUCCUCCUCUCGCAUCUCGUUGUUUCCACCCCGACUGGCGGCUAGGGUUCCCGUCGGCGCCGCCACAGCCGCCGCUACCAUCCUUGCUCCGCCAUCUAUGGCCACCAGAGAAGGCGCCCUUCUGAGACCCGCUCUUGUUCAAACCUUCUCGUCUUGGCGUCAAGGCGUGCUAUUCUGCCUGGCUGCCUUGGUGGUUGCAGAUGAGGGGGAGGAAGGGAUGGCAUCGAGGUGUCGAUGGAGGCCCUAGCUCGAGGCGGCGAGAUGCAGAGAUGCGGGGUGGUGCGGAUGGAGAGGCAGCUUCAGAUCCGCGCGCAGCCGCCCGCACUCUCCUUCCUCCGCCGCCUUCCCUGUGGUCAGCUCCGUCUUCUCCCCGCCCUCCAUCCUCAUGUGUUCAGCAGCAACCCUAGGAGGAGCUCGAGCCACAUCGGUGAAUGUUCUCUGCUAGGUUUGGUGCUACUACUCCGUCUUCGAUCCCAACCAUCUCGCACGUUCCCGAGAUCGUCGUCUUCCUGGCCGGGACCCCUGGUGAGAGCCUCUCUCCAUGCCCCAACUUCCUAAGCACAUACGUAUCUCCUAAUGGUGAAUCUUUGACUGAAUUUGUUACACACGACGUUUACUGAAACUGUUGUGGUCUGAAGAACAGCUUACUGAAAUUGUUCUAGUCUGAAAAACAGUUAUCUGAAUCUGUUGAAGUCUGAAAGUGUUAGUGUGAGCUGUCUGCAACUGUUGUAAUCUUGUAGACAGAGUAGGUCAGUUGAUUCAUCUCUUUUCAGCCUUAACAGAGAAGAUGGUGAUGAUAUCCAUUUGACUUAGCCCAUUUUGCUUGUGUUUGAAUAAUCUCUGAACAAAAUUCAGGUUCCAACAGUGGUAAAUUAAAUCUUGUUACUGCACAUGAUUUGUAUUCAGGUUUUCUACAUGACCCGUCGUAAUAUUAUGAUACAUUCUGUUAAAACCUGGCAAUGGUCUGAAACUACUGUAGUCCUAUAGAAAGUAAAAGUAGUUGGAUGGGAAUAGUGUAUUUAUCAAAGCUAGUUGGACAUCCCUGUUCUUGAUUAAGAUAAUUCAGUUCGUCCAUUCCAUAUGUUUGCGGCUAGUAGAAAUUAUGGAAGCUAAAAGGCCAAAUCAAGCUCAGUCAUCUCAUUUUACCGCUAGUAGAUUUCAGACUUUUAUUAUGUUGUGCGCACACACACAUACAACGCGUUCGGCACAGUCGCGGCGGCGGCACUGUCGGCUACUUAUCUGUACUCCUCACCAGAGUUUGAAGUGGUAGAGUGAGCUCGUUAGCAUGGCAUGAGAAGUGGUAUUUGAUAAAAUAAAGCAUGUCAGAUCAGGUCACUCCUUAGUACUUGUAUGGUUUAUUCACGUGUGAUGCUCCUCUUUGGCCAUUUGGCUGAGUGAGUAGAACUAGACGAAGUAAGGGCCGCGUGAACUGCACGGCCAUUUGUGCUGAAAAUUAAGUGGGCGCUGGUUCAGCAAGCAACGACCCAAUGUGUCAGUCUAUUUCAAAAAGAAGAGGUCCUGUUGGUUCAGUAAGCAAAACACUCGAGAGGUCCCUGUCUAUUUGAGAAAAAGGAAAGUGCAACAAAAAUGUCAAACAUCGCGUGCAUGGACUGGAUUAAUCUUCUGGCCUGCAUUCCAGCAUUUACCUCAAAUUUUGACCAGGAUGUAUGACUUUGUUAAACAGCAAUGUCCAGAUUGUGCAGUUUAGGUGUGCAUCAGUUUUGUUUUCAUCAGGCUUUACUUACUUCAAUUUAGUUUCAUUUUCGCAUUACUUCUUUUCGACAUGGGUUGGAGUGGGAGCUAUGAUAUUCUCUUUUGACGAUAUACGACUAUUUGAAAGAGUAUAAGCAAAUAAUUAUAUUUAGUACAAAUGCGAUAGGGGACAUGUGUUUGAACUUCCUCUGAUUUUGAGAGAGUUUAGCCACUCCAUAUAUUUCCUCUCUGGCAAGUCAUUUUGCCUAUGAUAUAUUGUAUCCCUUUCUUUCUAACCUGAAAGUUAGCAUGUCAAUUUUAAAUUAAUUAGAGCUCAUUUCUUCGCAUGGUUCACUGAUCCAUACUUAAAAAAUGAACUUCCAUUUAGUUCAUAAUGUGUUCUUGGCUUCUUCAUAACUGGAAAUAAGUGUCCUAUGUUUCUGCGUUUAAUGCAGUUUCCCAAUCGUAGAUUUUACUGAUGAAAUAAAUACGUCGAAAGGGGAUUUGACAUGUUACUGACUAAGGAGAUAGCGCCAAACUUUUGUAUUGAUUAUGUUGCUAUUUUCAUACUUCAGUCAAGUUCUUGCCUUAUGUGAUGGGCAGGUUUGUAAUUCAUGGCAUUUGGCGCAUCUGCGCUUAAAUUCUUGCUGGAAUGGUAAACAACGAUUCCAUUUGGUACAUAACUGAACUUGAACACCCAUUAUGCAUCUGAUUUCUCUACACUUCAAUCAUUCAUGAUUGCUGGGAAGAUGAGUUUCAUAAUCUGCACAAGAAAUAUGAAAGAAAAGAAAGUCGGACUAGAUGUCUCCACCCACGCCUCGACUAUCAGCUUAUUCUCUGUUCUUUCUUUCCUUGUCCUCUUCUCUCUUCUAUAAAUUCAUCAAAUUUGAUUAUUCUAUUUAAGAACUAGAUAAAAUAGAAAUAUUCAUGUAUAGGACAAUCAUAUGUCCUGUUUGUCUUCAUAGUGCAGGUGAUGUAAUGCACCAUUUCACAAGUAAGAAUGGGACAAAAGCUACUACGCGCGCUCAAUAAAUUUCAUAGUUUUGGAUAGAAAAGGGGGAGCUGCAUAAGAAUUAAUUAUAGGACAGUUGUAUGUUUGGAUACAGACACAGAAGGAAUGGUAUAUGAAUGAUAUCAUAUAAAUAAAUUGGUGGGCAGAAGUUGGUCUGAUUUUAUGGGAUUAAUUAAUCCUGUAUGUGCUUGCCAAUUUUGGUUAGUAAGUACCAGGUAGCAGCUAUCUUUUCAUAAUCCUUCUACCACUUCUUGAUGCACAUAUCUUUUGCUUUCAGGUUACCAUCAACAAAAUGAAGAAAACCAACAAUUUAUUUUUGUAGUAAACGGCAAUACGAUGUGAAGGUAUUCAAGAGAAUCUGGUCUUAUUUUUCUGAUCCCUAUGGUCCCUGUGAAGCAUCAACUAUAUCAGCAUUUUGAAGCUUAGAAUGGCUAAUGCUGAUUGUUUAGAGCUUAGUUAUAAUGAUUUCUUGUGCAUCAGGUUAUAUUGUACAAGUGAUUGCAACUGAUUUAUUUUCAGAGUUAUUAUUAUUUACACGUAUAAGUUUAGGGCUGACC